GGGUCUCCGUUGGUGAACCAGCGGAGGGAUCAUUACCGAGUUUACAACUCCCAAACCCCUGUGAACAUACCUUAAUGUUGCCUCGGCGGAUCAGCCCGCGCCCCGUAAAACGGGACGGCCCGCCAGAGGACCCAAACUCUAAUGUUUCUUAUUGUAACUUCUGAGUAAAACAAACAAAUAAAUCAAAACUUUCAACAACGGAUCUCUUGGUUCUGGCAUCGAUGAAGAACGCAGCAAAAUGCGAUAAGUAAUGUGAAUUGCAGAAUUCAGUGAAUCAUCGAAUCUUUGAACGCACAUUGCGCCCGCUGGUAUUCCGGCGGGCAUGCCUGUUCGAGCGUCAUUUCAACCCUCAAGCCCCCGGGUUUGGUGUUGGGGAUCGGCUCUGCCCUUCUGGGCGGUGCCGCCCCCGAAAUACAUUGGCGGUCUCGCUGCAGCCUCCAUUGCGUAGUAGCUAACACCUCGCAACUGGAACGCGGCGCGGCCAUGCCGUAAAACCCCAACUUCUGAAUGUUGACCUCGGAUCAGGUAGGAAUACCCGCUGAACUUAAGCAUAUCAAUAA
rnacentral:rRNA from 1 species